rnacentral:rRNA from 1 species
UUAGGGCUACACACGUGCUACAAUGGGUAGUACAGAGGGUUGCCAAGCCGUAAGGUGGAGCUAAUCCCUUAAAGCUACUCUCAGUUCGGAUUGUAGGCUGAAACUCGCCUACAUGAAGCUGGAGUUACUAGUAAUCGCAGAUCAGAAUGCUGCGGUGAAUGCGUUCCCGGGUCUUGUACACACCGCCCGUCACACCACGGGAGUUGGAGACGCCCGAAGCCGAUUAUCUAACCUUUUGGGAAGAAGUCGUCGAAGGUGGAAUCAAUAACUGGGGUGAAGUCGUAACAAGGUAGCCGUAUCGGAAGGUGCGGCUGGAUCACCUCCUUUCUAAGGAGAAUU